rnacentral:rRNA from 1 species
AAAAUCCGGGAUUCUAAGGCCGAGAGCUGAUGACGAGUGUACUUUUAGUACACGAAGUGGUUGAUGCCAUGCUUCCAAGAAAAGCUUCUAAGCUUCAGGUAACCAGGAACCGUACCCCAAACCGACACAGGUGGUUGGGUAGAGAAUACCAAGGCGCUUGAGAGAACUCGGGUGAAGGAACUAGGCAAAAUGGCACCGUAACUUCGGGAGAAGGUGCGCCGGUGAGGGUGAAGCAUUUACUGCGUAAGCCCAUGCCGGUCGAAGAUACCAGGCCGCUGCGACUGUUUAUUAAAAACACAGCACUCUGCAAACACGAAAGUGGACGUAUAGGGUGUGACGCCUGCCCGGUGCCGGAAGGUUAAUUGAUGGGGUUAGCUAACGCGAAGCUCUUGAUCGAAGCCCCGGUAAACGGCGGCCGUAACUAUAACGGUCCUAAGGUAGCGAAAUUCCUUGUCGGGUAAGUUCCGACCUGCACGAAUGGCGUAACGAUGGCGGCGCUGUCUCCACCCGAGACUCAGUGAAAUUGAAAUCGCUGUGAAGAUGCAGUGUAUCCGCGGCUAGACGGAAAGACCCCGUGAACCUUUACUAUAGCUUUGCACUGGACUUUGAAUUUGCUUGUGUAGGAUAGGUGGGAGGCUUUGAAGCGUGGACGCCAGUUCGCGUGGAGCCAACCUUGAAAUACCACCCUGGCAACUUUGAGGUUCUAACUCAGGUCCGUUAUCCGGAUCGAGGACAGUGUAUGGUGGGUAGUUUGACUGGGGCGGUCUCCUCCUAAAGAGUAACGGAGGAGUACGAAGGUGCGCUCAGACCGGUCGGAAAUCGGUCGUAGAGUAUAAAGGCAAAAGCGCGCUUGACUGCGAGACAGACACGUCGAGCAGGUACGAAAGUAGGUCUUAGUGAUCCGGUGGUUCUGUAUGGAAGGGCCAUCGCUCAACGGAUAAAAGGUACUCCGGGGAUAACAGGCUGAUACCGCCCAAGAGUUCAUAUCGACGGCGGUGUUUGGCACCUCGAUGUCGGCUCAUCACAUCCUGGGGCUGAAGCCGGUCCCAAGGGUAUGGCUGUUCGCCAUUUAAAGUGGUACGCGAGCUGGGUUUAGAACGUCGUGAGACAGUUCGGUCCCUAUCUGCCGUGGACGUUUGAGAUUUGAGAGGGGCUGCUCCUAGUACGAGAGGACCGGAGUGGACGAACCUCUGGUGUUCCGGUUGUCACGCCAGUGGCAUUGCCGGGUAGCUAUGUUCGGAAUAGAUAACCGCUGAAAGCAUCUAAGCGGGAAACUAGCCUCAAGAUGAGAUCUCACUGGGACCUUGAGUCCCCUGAAGGGCCGUCGAAGACUACGACGUUGAUAGGUUGGGUGUGUAAGCGCUGUGAGGCGUUGAGCUAACCAAUACUAAUUGCCCGUGAGGCUUGACC